CCUACGGGGUGCAGCAGUGAGGAAUAUUGGUCAAUGUGCGCGAGCCUGAACCAGCCAAGUAGCGUGAAGGAUGACUGCCCUACGGGUUGUAAACUUCUUUUAUAAAGGAAUCAAGUGAGGCACGUGUGCCUUUUUGUAUGUACUUUAUGAAUAAGGAUCGGCUAACUCCGUGCCAGCAGCCGCGGUAAUCAGGAGGAUCCGAGCGUUAUCCGGAUUUAUUGGGUUUAAAGGGAGCGUAGAUGGGUUGUUAAGUCAGUUGUGAAAGUUUGCGGCUCAACCGUAAAAUUGCAAUUGAUACUGGCAGCCUUGAGUACAGUUGAGGUAGGCGGAAUUCGUGGUGUAGCGGUGAAAUGCUUAGAUAUCACGAAGAACUCCGAUUGCGAAGGCAGAUUACUAAACUGCCACUGACAUUGAUGCUCGAAAGUGUGGGUAUCAAACAGGAUUAGAUACCCUAGUAGUC
rnacentral:rRNA from 1 species